AUAGGACUGAAGAGUCCCAUACUAGGACGAAACGGCCGUCUAAU
rfam:Schistosoma haematobium scaffold954_1, whole genome shotgun sequence.